GACGAACGCUGGCGGCGUGCCUAACACAUGCAAGUCGAGCGGGGUCCAUCCGGUAGCAAUACCGGGGAAGACCUAGCGGCGAACGGGUGAGUAACACGUGAGAAACCUGCCCCGAAGUCUGGGAUAACCCGAGGAAACUCGAGCUAAUACCGGAUGUCUUCUUCUGAUCGCAUGGUCAGAUGAAGAAAGAUUUAUCGCUUCGGGAGGGUCUCGCGGCCUAUCAGCUAGUUGGCGGGGUAACGGCCCACCAAGGCGUCGACGGGUAGCUGGUCUGAGAGGACGAUCAGCCACACUGGGACUGAGACACGGCCCAGACUCCUACGGGAGGCAGCAGUGGGGAAUAUUGCGCAAUGGGCGAAAGCCUGACGCAGCAACGCCGCGUGCGGGAUGAAGGCCUUCGGUUGUAACG
rnacentral:rRNA from 1 species